rnacentral:rRNA from 1 species
UACGGAGGGUGCGAGCGUUGUCCGGAAUCACUGGGCGUAAAGGGCGCGUAGGCGGCGCGGAUAGUCGGCGGUGAAAGCCCGGAGCUCAACUCCGGGUCGGCCGUCGAUACUUCCGGGCUUGAGCACUGUAGAGGCAGAUGGAAUUCCGGGUGUAGCGGUGGAAUGCGUAGAGAUCCGGAAGAACACCGGUGGCGAAGGCGGUCUGCUGGGCAGUUGCUGA